GGGCGAGAGCCUGAACCAGCCAAGUCGCGUGAGGGAAGACGGUCCUACGGAUUGUAAACCUCUUUGUCGGGGAGCAAUAAAGCGUACGCGUACGCAGAUGCGAGUACCCGAAGAAAAAGCAUCGGCUAACUCCGUGCC
rnacentral:rRNA from 1 species